UCUCUUCAAUUAUCAAAAAACCACAGAGAAUCCAGAGAACAAGAUAAAAACACCCUUCGCCUCACCAUCCAGAGUUGACAAAUACUAGCAUUUUGUCCCAUUUUCUCCAGUUUUUCGCUACUGUUUGCUCAUUACUGGGAUGUCCUUGUUUAACUAAACGUCUUAGAGAGCUACUGACAGUCAAUUUUGACUAAUGCCAAAUGCAAGUUGUUUAAAAUUUGGGGGCUGGAAGAUUGUGUAGCUGAGCAUUUGUUGUUUUACCAAUGAAAUGGUAGCAAGCAGGAAGAAACCUGCAGAACAAGGCCAUGGGCAUUUAUGUCACUUAAACAUUUUCUUCCCCAGAGUAUCUUCACAUGUAAUUUCUCAUUUCACUCCAGGAAACAAUCAAGGCAGUCAUCAAUGUAAAUGCAACAGGGAAGGAAAUAGAAACCUAAGACCAGGGAUUGUCUUGCUGGCAUUAGAACCUUCCGGAGAAGGCAUUUUAUUUUGAUGGCACAGAAGGAUGUCUGAGACCACUGAGGACUGUUGAGUUUGAAACUGGCACUCAGUGGGACAGAUUUGGGCCACAGAUAGAGCUGGCCCCUCUUGGACCCGCCCCACCCAGGGCUUCCUGCAAGCAGAGCGUGCACAGGGAUGGAUUCAGAACCUCUAGCUCCCACAAGGUAGAGCUGCAGACGUUGUGGAGUUAGGGCCUUCAGGAUUUCCCUGGGGAUUCAUGUUGAACUCAGGACUCCUGGAAGGAGCCGCCAAACCCAAUGAGCAUCUGAAAAUUCUAGAACAUUCUCAGGCACCCAGCAGAGCAGAAAAGAGCUUACCCCAGGCCCAGAAAACAUUCCCACACCCAGGUGAGCUUCUUCACCUCAUUACCGACUCUUUGGAUGGUCACAUGGGAGAGAAUCUACCCAGAACCAAGCCAAAAGGACCCAGCUCUUCGUGACUGUGCAUGGGGCCUCCAUCAUGAGAAAACCUGCACUGGGAAAACAAAAUGGCCAGAAUAUGUUUCCUUGCCUCGAAGAACUCAUUGUCUGGGAAGGAAGGCGACACGUAAAAAGUUGCAGUUAUGCCAGAAGUAACCUCACAGGUUGUGGACAAGGCCCUACAGGUGCAGAGAGAAGGACUCGACUGUACUGGGGUUGGAGGAGGGACACCUCACAAAGUAAAAGCACAAAAACUUUUCAAAUUCAGUCUUUACUUCUAUACCUCAGGACUGCAUUAUGGAUGCAACACAUCCCAUGGGAAAGGUGGCCUCUGGAAAGGCAGCCUCCUCUUCCUUGCUCCUUCCCCAAAUGAUCAGAAUUCUCUGAUGCUUGUACCAAGUAAACUGUCCUGUCAUGCAGCCAUAGCUACCUCUGUCCACCUUGGUCGUAUAUAAAUGCCAUCUUAGCAACUCUCCUGCUAGCUCAGCACCGUCAAAAGAACUUUCCCUGAUGAUGGAGAUGUCUCGUCUGCGCACACCAGUAUGACAGCCAUUAGCCACACGUGUCUGUGGAGCCUUUGAAAUGUGGAGGCUGGCAGCUCCUGCUGCCUCUCUCUUGAAACACUUUUGGGAGGCUUUUGCUGUCAUGGAAGGAGUCCAGCUAUCCUGCUGGAGAGAUCCCAUGGAGACGGUCAGGCCAGGCCCUGAGACUGCAUGGAGAGGGAGAGAGGCCCAGACCCAGUCUUCCUAGCCUGCCAGUCAACAGCCAGCUAACUUGCAACCACAAAAGGAACCCCAAGUGAUAAAAGCAGAAACCAGUCAGAGCCCGGCAGAGCCCAAUCAGCCCACAGAACUGAACGCAGAGAGGUAAGAACAAUGACAGGUGCUUUAACCGCUAUGUUUCGGGGUGGUUUGUUUCAUGGUAACGAAUGACCAAAGCUCUUGUUUAAGGUGAGCUACUUCCUUCUGUGUUCCCGUUGUCCUGCUCUCUGAUGCACUGGCCAGUGUUCAGUCCACCUGAAGGCAGCAGAUGCGUUAGAAAACCUGUCUGUGGCAUACCCACAUUUGCUCUCCUCUCUGCCUCUGAUCCUCAGCCAGAGACUUCAGCAAGCGGCAAGCACUGCAGUAUGGUGGGGAGGGAUAUGCACUGACGAGCUCUCGGCCAGAACUGGGCUCCUUCCCAUCUCUGAGGUUGUAAAAAUAAAGUUGCUAAUGACCUCCUUGCAGGGGUGUGUAGGAAUCAAACGACAUGCUGCUCAUCAGACACCUUACAUGCUACUUGGUACGUGUCAGGCAUCCAGGGAAUGGCAUUGGUUAGAGGCUGGAGAACAGCUCCUACUCCUACAAGGCUCUUAUCCCACUCUUCCCUUCUUAGCAAAGACCUAGAAAGCAGAGGUCAGGCUUCCAUGGGGCCAGAGCAAUGCCAGAGCUUCUUGACAGAGAGCAGCUGCUGCUUGUUAUCUCUGUUUAUGAAAAGGGAGGCUGGAUGGUCAACAUGAAGGCUAUCCCAGGAACCACUGCAGGACCCCUAACCCUUUGGGAAAUGUAUGUCCUUUGGGAUAUGAAGACGCUGCCUCCUAACAUGGGAGUGAAGAAGGCAGAACUGAGUUUCAGUAACCACCUCUGUAACUCCAGAGCUUGGCAACUAGUCCGUGUAUGUUCGAAGAAGACACAGAAUUAUGUUCCUGCUUCAUUCACUGCUGUAUUUCCAGCACAUAGUAGAUGCUUAGUAAAUACACGUUGAAUGAAUAAAUGAAUGUGGGGGUGAAUGAAUGUUGCACUGCCUGCAGCAACACUGCAGGUUGCCUGUCCCAAGCCAUUCCCUCCUUGUUCCUUGCUAAUGGAUUCCCAGUGUGAGUCUGGGGGCAACAUGCUGCCUGGGGAAGUCACCUGAUGGGUUUAAGAAAAUCAGGGCACACCUGUUCCUCCUUACUGGGAAUUAGUCUAGGGGUGGUCGUGUGAUGCCAUUUAGCCAGUGAGACUGAGAGAAAAAUCUGCUCAGACGGUUCUGAAAAGGUUUUCCUUGGUAUAAAGAGAGGGAGCUAUAAAAAGGAAAUGCCUCCUCCCUCCUGCACUUUGUGUCUCUGCUUUAGCACGUUAUUAUGGAAGGGCAUGAUUCCUGGGUUGAAGGCUAUCACUCAUAAGCAAAACAGAGCAGGCCCAAGGAUAAGAAACCAACCCCCUGAGGAUGGCCUGGUAGUGCCUGUUGAGAUGGCCCAGAUGAGUUUCCAGGCAACCCAGGACCCCCAGUUGACCUGAGGUCUGAGACAAAGACAUAUCCUCAGAGUUUCUGCAGAUAUUAUGUUCCAGCCAAAGCACCUUCCCUUAACUCGAACUUUCAUGAUAUCAUCAUGGGCUGAAUUGUGUCUUCCCCUCCCCCACCCCAAGAUUCACAUGUUGGAGCCCCAGCACCUCGAAAUGUAACUGCAUUUAGAGAGAGAGCCUUUAGAGAGGUGAUUAAAUUAAAAUGAGUCCAUUAGGGUGGCCCUAAUGCACUCUGAUAGGUACCCUUAUAAGAAGAAGUCAUUGGGACACACAACCAGGGAGGCAUGUGCCCAGAGAAAUGAUUACCCAGGGAGGGGGAAGCGGGGGCGGGGCGCAGGGUUGAGGCCUCAGAAGCCAGCUCUGCUGAUACUUUGAUCUUGACUUCCAGCCACCAGAGGUAUAAGAAAGCAGACUUGUGCUAUUGAAGCCACUGGUACUUUGUUAUGGUAGCCCUAGAAAACUAAUACAGAUAGCCAUUGCUAUGAUCAAUUAUUAUCCCCAUUAUCACAAAAUCCUGACGUCACCAUUUAAUUGUCCCUGGGAUGCAGUGGGGGCCUGAAUAAAGAAAGCUAGCCUGGGUUUCUCUGUAUUAUAUAACAGGGCAAUGAUAUCAGCCCAAGACUGGCCUUCUUGUGUCCUCCACCCAUCAACACAUCCACCCAUUACUUCAUUCCGCAGAAAUCUAGCAAACAUCCAUCAUGU